AUGCCCCGCGCGGAACGCGCCGCUGCGCGAGCCCCGCCCCCUGACGAUUGUUGCCGAAGGCGUAGCGAGCGCUUCCGAGCUCACUCGGCUCCUUCCGCCUGCCCCGCGCCGGCCCGACGCUCUCGGGAGCCGUCGUCACCCAGCUCGCUUUAGUGCCCUUCUGCUUUCCGAAUCUAAUGUCCAUAAGGGACAAGAAUUUUCACCUGUUUUGCUCACCGCUGUAUUCCCUGUGCCUAGCACAGUGCCACAGAGCGAGGAGGGAAAGCAGGCAUCGAAGAUGUAAUAAUGAGGCAUUAUUCCUGCCUCCCGAAGACAAGUCACACAAGAAUGUCGUCCACACUGGAGUGAAGCAUUGCUAAAGCAUGAGGAAAACGGAGCUCUGCAUCUCCCGCGACUAAAGCUAGGACCUCCUUUGUCUUUUUAUUUAGAGGUCAGGACUGCACGCUUGCCUGGAUGGAGAGCCGUGUCCCUUCCCUGGAGGACAGUGUGGCACACUGAAAUGGGAUGGCACUUCCGGGUCACUCAAUGCUAAGUUCAAGUUCCACCCUGCCACUUCAUCUGUGAGGCGUCGGACAGAAUUUCCCGCCUAAGACCCAGCUACAGGUUGAUAUGGUCAUUAAAGUCAUUAUCAAAAUCUUCUGUAGCGAGAUCUAGAGUCCAUGUGAACUAUUAAAUGCUACACGAUGCCAUAAGCACUCCCGGUGAGCCAUCCUGGUAGAGAAGUCGCGAGAGAAAGCUUACUUUAUCCCCGUCCACCUAAACGAUGACAUCUCAUCAUAAACGUCUGAGAAGCGUUCAUCACACCGUAGGAGCUGAGAAAUGGGAUGGCAAGGAUAUUAAAGGAAUAGCGGCUUUAAAAGGAGACACUUGGCAUUUCUUAGAUUUCAGCGUCAUACAUUUUCUUCUGUUGUCACAACAGUAAGAAAAGGAUUUCAACCAUAUAGAAAUAACAGACACUGCUUAUGGUACCUAAAAUGUCUCCGUAAAAGUGACUUCGCAUCUAAGAAGCCCGACCUCGAGGAUUUAUGCUGAAUCUGACCUUGCAAUGACAGCAAACUCUAUCUUUUAAUUUUUUUUUUUUUUAACGCUUAUUCAUUUUUGAGAGACGGAGAGAGACAGAGCAUGAGUAGGGGUGGGGCAGAGAGAGAAGGAGACACAGAAUCUGAAGCAGGCUCCAGGCUCCGAAC